GCCAGUUUGUCACUAGGGCAUUAUUUGUGAUCUAUUUUUUUUUUUUAAAAAAGGCUGAAAAAAAAAAAUAGUAACUUGUUAAUCUUAGUAGAUUUGUUUCAGUAUGUAGACCGUGCAAAUUGACUAAUACGAGUUUUCCUUGGGUCCACUUGAAAAACAAACCAGGGCGUGAUGACCAAUUCUGAUCCUAUGCUCUCUCCUCAAAUUUAGUGCUAUGCUAAAUGGGCC